CGAACGCUGGCGGCGCGCCUAACACAUGCAAGUCGAGCGAUGAAAUUUUAACCGAUCUCUUCGGAGAGCAGAUAAAAUGGAUUAGCGGCGGACGGGUGAGUAACACGUGAGAAACCUGCCUUUCACAAGGGGAUAGCCUCGGGAAACCGGGAUUAAUACCCUAUGACACAUUUCCUUCGCAUGGAAGAAAUGUUAAAACUCCGGUGGUGAAAGAUGGUCUCGCGCCUGAUUAGCUAGUUGGUGGGGUAACGGCCCACCAAGGCCAUGAUCAGUAACCGGCCUGAGAGGGUGAACGGUCACAUUGGAACUGAGACACGGUCCAAACUCCUACGGGAGGCAGCAGUGGGGAAUAUUGCACAAUGGAGGAAACUCUGAUGCAGCGACGCCGCGUUAGCGAUGAAGGCUUUCGAGUCGUAAAGCUCUGUCCUAUGGGAAGAUAAUGACGGUACCAUAGGAGGAAGCCCCGGCUAACUACGUG
rnacentral:rRNA from 1 species